GCUCGCAUAGCCAACAAUAGACACCAAUGGGACCAACUACAAAGAGAUUAUCUAAAUAUGUGACGGAGGCUUCACCAUAGUGUUUGUUGAACAAGCUGAAAAUGAUGAUGACUACAGGUAAGAAAGUAUCUUCUUACUGCUUCAUAAUUUUCUAGAUUUUUCAAUAUGUUUUUUUUUAUUUUUUAGAUAAAAUCAAUUGCAUCGAAAUAGAAGUGUACAAAUAAAAUAUAUUGGAUGUCCAAGUAAGAAAUUAUUUUAUGAAAAAAAACACGUAUAAAUAUGUGGCAAAUUAGUGAGUUAUUUUGGUAAACCAUAAUAUUUAUUAUUAUAAGACAAAAUUCUAGUUUAAAAUUAUAUUUGUAUUUUUAUAGUCAUUAUAUCAAUACUAAUACUUUUUUUCUUUUUUGUAUCAAACUUCUAGGGAAUAUUUAUCGGAAAUCUCUUCCUUCACCAUAAAGUCAAGAAAAUCUUGGAAAAUGGAAGAAAGAAAUAAAUAUAUAGGCAUGGAUAGGAGUAGAAGAUAAAAUUUUAAGAUAUUAGUAGCAGCUGCCAAAUUAUUUUGGUUUUUGAAAUAGCUACUCGUUACGGUUAAAACUAUGUUGGAUGUUACUUCUUGCAAGAAUUUGAAGAUGGGAGGCAGUUGUGAAGCGUUGGACUGACAAAAAAAUAGAUCAUUUUUUUCUGGAAAUGUACAUUGACAGUGACAAAGCUUGGUAAAUAGGUAACAGAGUACCUAUUUCUUAUCCAAUAUGUUUUAAUCUAUGGCCCGAGAUUGAUACUCCAGGAAAAGAGUGAAGGUCAUAGAGGACAUGGAAGGAAACAUCACUUAUGGACGCGUACUACCAGGGAUUGGUAUGGAGUUUUGGAUGCGAGAACAUUGUUUCGCCGAGCUGAGGACAACACACUUACAUUGGCACGAUUAGAAGAUGG